UCUUAUACCGACAGAACCCGCAGUCCCCGUUCCCCUCCGACUGCGCAGCUCGCCCACGCUCGGUCGCUCGCCCACUUGCCGGCGACGCCUAGCAGCUCCCCCACGCCGAGCCGCGGCUCCCCCGCGCCGCCCUGCCGCGCCGCAGCUCGCCCGCGCAGCUCCCCCGCCUAGUUCUCUCCUCCCUACCCUGCAAAUACUGCUUCCGCCGCGCCACAGCUCCCCCGCGAAGCUCAAGGAACGGCUUUGCCCCUUCCUUGAGUCCCUCGUCAUCGCCUUCCUCGAGUCCCUCGUCGUCGGCUCGUCGCCAUGGCUUGUGCUCUCCUUCCUUCUCCAUGGUGAGCUCCUCCCUGCUGCCUCCAUCCAUGUCCGCCAUCGAGCAGGCCAUGGUGGCGGCCAGAUCCGCGCCUGCUCGUCAGGAGACGGACGCCAUGGAGCUGUUCGUCAAGGUCCGACCUUGGUGAGUGCCGACGCCAAGCAGGGCGUCGAGCAGGCGUGCUCCGCCGGUGAGUCGCUCUAGAAGGAGCUUGAGGAGAUGGGUGUGCCGGUAUGUCAAGAUCUGUCGCUGGUGUGCUGUAAGGAGUAGAAUUCUGAAUUUAAGUUGGAGACAACAUUUCUGAACCUUGUACAGAACUGGGCUUUACACAACUGGGUGUUUUCAGGUACUCCAUCAGAGGAGCAGCUCUUCCAUGGGGUCCAGCAGCGUUUCCAGUCGCAGGUAUACGUAUUGUCUGAAACUAUGUACUCCUCCUUGCGACGAGCCAGACGACAAGAGCAAAGGCUCCCCCUUGCAAGCUCGACGGUAGCGGCGGCGUCUUCUUCGCAGCAGUACGAAGAGAUCACAAUCUUACUAAGAUCCUGUUCCUGGGCGGGUUAGUGGCCGUCGACCACAACCACCACCACCAGUAGCCGGCGGCCGAAGUGGACCAGCGCGGCGGCCGAAUCGGGGGCGAAGUGGACCAGCGCUGCGGCGGUGGGCGGCAGAAUUGGGGGCAAAUUGGACCAGCGUGGCGGCGGUGGACGGCGGAAUCGGGGGCAAAGUGGACCAGCGCAACGGCGGUGGGUGGCGGAGGCCCUGCUCGUGGGUGGGCAGCGGAGGUCCUCCUGGGCGGGCUCGUCGGCGGCGCAGGGCCUGUUGUGGGCGGCCUCCUGGGCGGGCUCGUCGGCAGAGCAGGACCUGCUCGGGCAACGGGCGGCUGGCCAUGGCGCCGCGCGGGCGACGGACGGAGGAGGAAGAACGAGAUGGGGACUAAUUUGUCUGAGCUUUAGAAGUUCAAGGGCUUUUCCGCAAAAACAUCACUGUACUGCGCGUGCGACAUGUUUUUGUUUUUCAGGACAGAGGGAGUACUAGUAAGGUACACGUGCAUUGCACGCAUGAGAUUCGGCAAUCAAAUUAUAAAUAAAUACCACACUAUAGCAAUGGAA